UCAACUUGCUUCUGCCAUGCCAGCGUCACCCCUGGUCUCAGGUGAUUUCUUAGGCUAAUUCUCAGAGAUGGGGUUAUUGGGCCAAAAAAGCAAACUAUGGCUUUCCGAAGCUCUCAUUGUUCCUAUUAUGUCAUGCAUCCCUGAGAUGCAGUCAGCAGAGGAUUCUAUUUGAGGGACUAAACACUCCUGGGGAAAGCAGGAAGAAGGAGAUGGGAACUAACAUUUGCUAUUGAGCGCCAGGCAUCGUCCUACAGGCUUCGAAGUGAACCUUGGAUGUGCUGCUGAUCUGACCUGCCCAGAUUUGUCAUCAUUGUUAUUGUCUUGGCCACUUAUGAAGACGUUCACCCAGCAGGACUUCAGAAGCUUUGUUCACUCAAUCUCAUUUAAUCCUCACAAUAGUGCCCUAAGGAAGAUAUUAGUAUCUCCAUUUUACAAAGGAGGAAACGGGAACCUGGGGAGAUUAAGCGAAGGCCUCACAGAUCAUGAAUAGAAGAGGCUGGAAACCUAGUCUGGUUCAAGGGUGUGCUCUUUCUGCUCUGCCAUGCUGUGCUUCAGCC
rnacentral:lncRNA from 1 species